GCCCCCUUCCCGGCCCCGUCGUCCCCACCCCCUUCCCGCCCCGCAGCUGCUGGUGAGGUGGCCGUGGCCGCGGCUCCGGCGGUCCGGCGCCCCCUUGCCGGCCCUCUGCUACUGGCUUUCUGGUGUUGCAUAUCUUUGGAGUCAUCGUCGUCGAAGGCAUUGGUCUGUGAUUUCGUCGCUGUUUGACUACUUCGUCUACAGUCGAGGGUUUGUGGAACAUGGGCAAGGGGAAGGCUGACGGCGUGGGU